rnacentral:piRNA from 1 species
UGUCCUGGUUCUGUUAGGAUUCUGC